rnacentral:rRNA from 1 species
UACGUAGGGGGCAAGCGUUGUCCGGAUUUAUUGGGCGUAAAGAGCGUGUAGGCGGCCAUACAGGUCCGUUGUGAAAACUGGAGGCUUAACCUCCAGACGUCGAUGGAAACCGUAUGGCUAGAGUCCGGAAGAGGAGAGUGGAAUUCCUGGUGUAGCGGUGAAAUGCGCAGAUAUCAGGAAGAACACCCGUGGCGAAGGCGGCUCUCUGGGACGUUACUGACGCUGAGACGCGAAAGCGUGGGGAGCAAACAGG